rnacentral:rRNA from 1 species
AGAGUUUGAUCCUGGCUCAGGAUGAACGCUAGCGAUAGGCUUAACACAUGCAAGUCGAGGGGCAGCAUGGUCUUAGCUUGCUAAGACUGAUGGCGACCGGCGCACGGGUGCGUAACGCGUAUGCAACUUGCCUCACAGAGGGGGAUAACCCGUCGAAAGACGGACUAAUACCGCGUACACUCCAUCUUGGGCAUCCAAGGUAGAGGAAAUGAAAUUCGCUGUGAGAUAGGCAUGCGUCCCAUUAGCUAGUUGGUGAGGUAACGGCUCACCAAGGCGACGAUGGGUAGGGGAACUGAGAGGUUGAACCCCCACACUGGUACUGAGACACGGACCAGACUCCUACGGGAGGCAGCAGUGAGGAAUAUUGGUCAAUGGGCGAGAGCCUGAACCAGCCAAGUCGCGUGAAGGAUGACUGUCUUAUGGAUUGUAAACUUCUUUUAUACGGGAAUAACAAGAGCCACGUGUGGCUCCCUGCAUGUACCGUAUGAAUAAGCAUCGGCUAACUCCGUGCCAGCAGCCGCGGUAAUACGGAGGAUGCGAGCGUUAUCCGGAUUUAUUGGGUUUAAAGGGUGCGUAGGUGGACUAUUAAGUCAGUGGUGAAAGUUUGUCGCUCAACGAUAAAAUUGCCGUUGAAACUGGUGGUCUUGAGUAUGGAUGAAGUAGGCGGAAUGCGUGGUGUAGCGGUGAAAUGCAUAGAGAUCACGCAGAACUCCGAUUGCGAAGGCAGCUUACUAAGGCAUAACUGACACUGAAGCACGAAAGCGUGGGUAUCAAACAGGAUUAGAUACCCUGGUAGUCCACGCAGUAAACGAUGAUAACUGGGCGUAUGCGAUAUACAGUAUGCUCCUAAGCGAAAGCGUUAAGUUAUCCACCUGGGGAGUACGCCGGCAACGGUGAAACUCAAAGGAAUUGACGGGGGCCCG